GCCAGGCGCGGUGGUGCACGCCUGUAGUCCCAGCUACUAGGGAGGCUGAGGCAGGAGGAUCGAUGGAGCCCAGGAGUUCUGGGCUGUAGUGUGCUAUACAUAUCGGGUGUCGGCACUAAGUUCGGCACUUCCGGAGCUGGUUGCCUAAGGAGUGGUGAACUGGCCCAGGUAGGAAAAGAGUUGUAAAAUAUUGGUAUUAUUUCUUCCUUAAAUGUCUCGUGGAGUUUAAUAGUACAGUCCCUCAGGCCUGUGUACUCAUUGCUCAGAAGUUUUAA
rnacentral:sRNA from 1 species